AGGAGGAGGAGGAGGCGGAGGCCCAGGCCGGACGGUGGCAGUAGAGGACCAUGCACGAACGAGCCGUGCCUGAGUCAUUCUGAGUUUACCAUCUGUUGCUCUGCAAGAGUUCCCAGGAGAUGCCAGACACGGGAGAAAUCAUUCCAGAAAACGACUCCAGGCUGUGUCGAUGACAGAGAUCAGGGUUGUAUCAUGACAGGCUACCACCAUGUGCUCCUCUGCUAAAUUCUAAUGGUUUAAUCCUAAACAUCCUGCGAGUCAUCGUGGCACAUGUUAGUGUGCGCAGUCGAGCCUGUAGCUCCUCCCUGGGCUACAGUGCAGAGGAUUACACACAGAGACUCUGGUGAUGAUCAGGCAGAGGUGCUCCAAAAAUAACAUUGUAAUAGUGAGAGCUCUUCCAAGCGUCAGGCGAGAACCCAUCCUCGACCUCCUCAGUGGGUGUUGUAAUCUGUAUGGAUGACUGACCUCUAUGUGUGUGUGUGUGUGUGUCUGACAGAGAGCUAAACAGUGGAGGGAGAGAAUCCUCAGACAAAGUGAGGGAGGUGUAUAAUGAGA